GACGAACGCUGGCGGCGUGCCUAAUACAUGCAAGUUGAGCGAUGAAGAUUGGUGCUUGCCCCAAUUUGAAGAGCAGCGAACGGGUGAGUAACGCGUGGGGAAUCUGCCUUUGAGCGGGGGACAACAUUUGGAAACGAAUGCUAAUACCGCAUAACAACUUUAAACAUAAGUUUUAAGUUUGAAAGAUGCAAUUGCAUCACUCAAAGAUGAUCCCGCGUUGUAUUAGCUAGUUGGUGAGGUAAAGGCUCACCAAGGCGAUGAUACAUAGCCGACCUGAGAGGGUGAUCGGCCACAUUGGGACUGAGACACGGCCCAAACUCCUACGGGAGGCAGCAGUAGGGAAUCUUCGGCAAUGGCCGAAAGUCUGACCGAGCAACGCCGCGUGAGUGAAGAAGGUUUUCGGAUCGUAAAACUCUGUUGGUAGAGAAGAACGUUGGUGAGAGUGGAAAGCUCAUCAAGUGACGGUAACUACCCAGAAAGGGACGGCUAACUACGUG
rnacentral:rRNA from 1 species